AUUUUCCUGCCUCUCAGCCAUGGUCGAUAUGUCUACGGCCUAUAUGCAUUUUCACGCUAAGACCCUCUUUGCUCCCGAAGCCAACCCCCUCCCGGCAUUAUUUUUUGUACCUCUCUGCGAUGGUUUUCGGCGGGAUUCCUUGGAGAGACGGAUCACCGGAUCGGGACUCUUCUCCCAUCAAUGACGUGCUCGGCCCUCCCAAACCCCGUAUUUCUAGCGUUUCGGCUUCUUGAUCUGCGGGUUUCUCCACUGCCAGGUUUUCAAGCGCCCGCCAGGCGGUUUCUACCGGAAACGUGCCUUUUAGACUAGAAAUCAAGGUACUCCUCUCCGAUGCUAAUUAAAAUUUCGAUAGCUAUUGCUUGGAUAUUAUGUUUUCUUUCCUUUUUUGCGUUCAGAUUUCUCCACUUUGCUUCCAAUGAUCUCUGGAUCAGAGGAAACUUGCACAAAGGUCUGAAAGAGUAAAACACAUAGAUCUACAUCCAACAGAGCCAUGGAUUUUGACGAAUCUUUAUUCUGGAAGUUUCUGCAUCAAUCACAUCCAGACUGGAGAACACAUUAAAUUAUGGUCUUGAACAAGUUUGGUCUAUGGGAUGCAUGAAAAGAUCAAGGAGUGUUGUCGUUGGAUGUGAUGAAGGAACCAUUAUGAUAAAACUUGGUUGUGAAGAACCAGUUGCAAGCAUGUAUAGCAGUGCGAGAAUUAUAUGGUCAAAACAUAACAAAAUACAGGCAGUGAAUAUCAAGACUGUUAGCGCAGAUAUUGAGGCUGCAGAUGAUGAGAGAUUGCCUUUGGCUGUGAAGGAAUUGGGAAGCUUUGAUCUACCUGCAAAGCUUAAAACAUAAUCCAAAUGGGAGAUUUGUUAUUGUUUGUGGAGACGGAGAAUGCAGAAUAUAUACUGUGUUGGCAUGGAGAAAUAGAUGCUUUGGAUCUGCUUUGGAAUUUGUCUGGUCAUCUGAUGGAGAACAUGCAGUCAGGGAAAGUACAUCAAGAAUAAAGAUUUUAGUUAAACAUUCCAGCUCAGAGUUAUUUAUUUUUGGUAUUACAAUUUGUUGACUUAUGGGUAGACCAUGUUAAAAGGAAGCAUUACUUGCUGUGCUCUCUCUAUGUCCUGAGAGCAGAUAGAUUAUGAAGCAUCCGCAGGUGAAUUGCUAUAUUGUUUAACUCUACAAUAUCCUGAAGCCACAUAUUUGGAUAGCACGAAUGGCCAGCAUAGAGUGCUUAAACAACGAUCAGAGGCAAAAAGGCAAUUGCUAUGGAAGCGCAAAGUGAAUCUAAGUGAAGCAGUUGGGAGACUAGCUAUUUCUAUGGAAGUUAGAAAUGGCUGAGGAGUGUCUAUUACAUGCUAUGGAUUUGAGUGGCUUAUUGCUUGUUUACUCAGCUUUUGGUGAUGCUGAAGGGAUAACAAACAUCUCCUGCCAAAUAGCAAGGGAAGAAUAAUGUUGCUUUCCUUUGUCCAUUUGUGCUAGGUAAAUUGGAGGAUUGCCUUCAAUUGUUUGUGGAGAGUAAUUGUAUACUGGAAGUUGCAUUGAUGGCAUGUUCCUAUCUUCCAAGCAAAGUUUCUGAGAUUGUAGGAAUAUGGAAAAAUGUAUCUCAAUAAGAUUAACACAAACAUGCAUUUGAGUUUUAAUAAAUAUUGAUUAAGACAGGGGAUAAUUGUCCCUCUGAUGCGGAAUGCUUAAGCUAUGCUGAGAAGUCAAAUAUUAAUCUUGUGGAAGCUUUCAAAAGCAUGAAAGUUGAUGAAGAGGCUGUACCACUUGAAAAUGGAGAUCCAGGUCAUGAGAUUGUCUAAUGAAGAGAAUGGAGUAGUGGAAGGUCAUGAAAAAGCUGUUGAAGUUGAAGCCGAUGACUCUACAGACGGUGCAAUCCUUGUUAAUGGGAAUGAGGGUGAGGAAGAGUGGUGUAUGAAUAAUGAAGGAACCCCAUCAGCCUAACAGCAAUAGGAUGGACAGUGCUAACUCCACGUCAGUACGGAAUAGGGACCUAACAAAGCAAGUUUCAGAGAUCUAUCUCCUCUUCUUAAGGUGAUGACAUAUCCUCGUGGGGGAGAGAAUGAGAUCCAUUAUUUACUUUUUUGCUGAUAUAAUGAUCCCUUUUCUUUUUCUUCACAAGUAGAUGGUUUGUCUCUGUGCUAUAUUUUUCUUGUGCUAUAUUUUUCUUGGUGCCUGAUUGAUAUCUUACCUGGCGGUAUCCUAUGCCGUGUAGCUUUAGAAGAUUAAUGGUCCACAUCCAACACGAAUACUGCUGUAUAUGAAUAUUUCUGGGGUGGCAUAUGCUCGGUUGAUUUCACCUGUUUAAAAGGAAAUAUAAAGCAGGACCAAAGAACUUGCAUUGAGUUGGUGGGAUAAGGAAGAAUCUGGUCCUUAAUAGUUGUUGGUUAUCGCAAGGUUAGCUUGCCUUCCUUUCCUUUGUGGUGGUCAGUGCGGAGCUUCAUCAAGCACCAAAACGAGACAACUGUCGUGAUCCUUUUGUCCACCUGCUGAAAGAUCUGCCUUUUAUUUUUUUUGCCUGAAAAAAUAAAUAAACUCAGACAGAUUUAUAAAUGUUACAAUACUUUAGCACAA